rnacentral:rRNA from 1 species
AACGUAGGGGGCUAGCGUUGCCCGGAAUCACUGGGCGUAAAGCGGGUGUAGGCGGUUCUUUAAGUCGGAUGUGAAAUCCAGCGGCCCAACCGCUGAAUUGCAUCCGAUACUGGGGAACUUGAGGACGGUAGAGGUCGGUGGAAUAUCCGGUGUACCGGUGAAAUGGACAGAUAUCGGAUGGAACACCAGUGGCGAAGGCGGCCGACUGGGCCGAUCCUGACGCUGAGACCCGAAAGCUAGGGUAGCGAAC